CCGGCCGCUGGCUGCCCGGAGCCGGCCUGUCUCCUUCCGUCCCUCAUGGCUGCUCCCUCGUUGUCAGCUCCCGGCUCGGCCAUCAGUGUUUGCCGGUGGAAAAAACCUGAAUUAUCCUGUUGGUUGUUCCAUGGAGGAGAAGAGUUGGAAUGGAAUAAUGGAAUAAUGGAGUGACUCAGGUGGGAGCAGGGAGCAGCAGUUCCUGAUGACAUCAGGGUACAGCUGGAGCCAGGGGAUAGGAGAUCUUUCCUAAAGGAUGGAGCAGUUGCAGUUUUUAUGGAAUUAUUGCCAUGGAUUUCCCACCUCCAUCAUUUCAAACCAGGAUGGAUUUAGGGAAUUUCAUCCUCCUGCAGGAGCAAAACUGGGUUUCUCCAAAACUGGUGUUUUCUCCCAAAUGGGUACAUUCUCCCAAAAUGGAUAUUCCAGUUCUCACGUGCCAGGAUGGAGCAAUUGCAGUUUUUAUGGAAUUAUUGCCACAGCA